UGAAGGAGGCUUUGUUAAGUCGCUCUGGAUAAGAGCGUCUGCUAAAUGACGUAAA
rfam:Salmo salar isolate Sally breed double haploid chromosome ssa26, whole genome shotgun sequence.